rnacentral:lncRNA from 1 species
UACCAUCCCCUGAAGUUGAUGUAUGUGGGGUUCUGAAAGGUCUCAACACGUGGCAGUAGGCAGCAGAAUUAAUUCCCUGUGCCUCAAGGAUAGCCUGAGACAUACGGAAGUGGGAAUGAUGUUCUGUUCUCAGGUGAAGUGUUUGUGCAUAUGUGUGUGUCGGGGGAGAGGAAGGUGAUGAUUGGCCAAUAAAAUAAAUUUAGACGUGAUUUGGAUAGUAAAAAUGAAGCCACAGUCACUGAUCACUGAAGAUCAUUGUGGGUACAGGUUUCCUGACCAACAAAGGGCCCAGGCCGACUGCCACAAGUCUGAAUGCAGACCUGCAGAAGCAGCAGCAACUCAAAAGGACAGCAUUCCACAGACCUUCCCUGCACUGCCCUUCAUAGCCCACUCUGCAGCUGGACCUGCCUACUCGCCAUACACCCUGAAAGCUCCCACUUAUCCACCUAACCUCA